rnacentral:lncRNA from 1 species
AAAAGAGAAAAUAAGGCAUUUGGGAUGCCGAUGUUAAAAGGAGAAGGUAAUCAGAGAAGAAAAAAGGAAGUCGGUGGAGAGUUCUGCGAAGAUUUUGAAGAUUUCUAGAGAAGCAGGGGGUUCUGGAGAAGGGAAUAGACUUGGCCAGAUACCCAGGAAGACUUCCUCAACAGAUGUCCCAUCAUGCUGAGAUUCAACGCGACAUUUUAGAGUCAUGCAACCAUGUGAGAAAAAAAGUCCCAGUAACCUUUGUUGGGGCUGGAGGGCAGGAUCCCGAGGUCCCGGAGGAGCUGCUCCACCUCCUCCAGCCAGGACAGCGCGUGCCUCAGGACGUCCAGCACCACCUUCUGGAGCCCCGAGACAGGUGGGCUCACCUGGAGGUGCUGAAGAAGGUCGACCUCCUUCUUCAGGUCAUGGCUGCAACAGGAUAUUUUCAUGCAAGCCUGCAAAGAGGUGAGAUCAUGAGGAGCCCAGGCCCUGUGGCCAGAAAUAGCCCCUGACGUGACCUUCGAGGAACAGCGUUCUUGACUCUGCCACGAAGCAGGCAGCGCCACGUAUUGGCCGCCUUGGGAGGACUCAGUUUUUUUCUUUUUUAAAAUUUUUAUGUUUUGACAGGUUUUUUUUUAAUACUCUAAUUUGGACUUUUGAUGGUCAAAGCGAACCCCCUUUUAGGUCUAUGAAACCCCAGAGCCAAAGUACCAUCAACAGUUUGGCUGCAAUGAGAAGCAAAUGUGGCUACUUCUUUUUUCCAUUCGUCAGAAUUCCUGCCAAGAUCAACACACAAGCUGGUCGGAAAGCGUGGUUUCCUGAUUUGAAAGAGUGCUGACAAGCCAGCAUUUGCACAAACUCCCCAAACAGGAGCUGCUGAUUUCCAGAGAAAGCAGAAGCCACCGCCUGCUCUGAUAAGCCAUGUCCCAGGGUGGGGGCCGCAGGGCUGUGGCCAAGUCCUCCCGUCCCUGCUCCUCCAGAGUCAAAAGCAACGGUGUGGAAACCGCCUUUUGUGGCUGGGCCAAAACAAGAAAAUGCAAAUAAAAAGCAGGAAUGUU